rnacentral:rRNA from 1 species
UACGGAGGGUGCGAGCGUUAUCCGGAAUCACUGGGCGUAAAGGGUGUGCAGGCUGCCCCUCAAGUGGUGUAUGAAAGGGCUCGGCUCAACCGGGCUAGGUUAUGCCAGACUGAGGGGCUAGAGAGCGAGAGCGGGACGUGGAAUUCCGGGUGUAGUGGUGAAAUGCGUAGAGAUCCGGAGGAACCCCAGAGGCGAAGGCGGCGUCCUGGCUCGCAUCUGACGCUCAGACACGACAGCAUGGGGAGCGAACGGG